GACGAACCGUGCGAACGUUGUUCGGAUUCACUGGGCUUAAAGGGCGCGUAGGCGGUCCUGUAAGUUUGGUGUGAAAUCUCCCGGCUCAACUGGGAGGGUGCGCCGAAGACUGCAGGGCUUGAGUAUGGGAGAGGUAAGCGGAAUUCCUGGUGUAGCGGUGAAAUGCGUAGAUAUCAGGAGGAACACCUGUGGUGUAGACAGCUUACUGGACCAUAACUGACGCUGAGGCACGAAAGCGUGGGUAGCAAACAGG
rnacentral:rRNA from 1 species